AGUAAUACUAGGGUUUCAUUUUCAUUAUUUCAUUUUCAUACCUUUCUCUGCUGUCCGCCUCUCACAGCCUCAGACCUCAGUGCCUCACUAACCUAACUCCUUUCCUUUCCUGUGCUUGAACAGUUGAACUUGAAGAGUUGAAGUCCUCACUCAGUCACUCCUCAGUUAAGCUCAAGCCCUCUCCGUCAGUCAGUCAAGCCCUUAGUCCACAGUCCAAGUCAAACCUCACCAGUUCUCUGCUAGUCCGCCACCGGCCAGGCGGCCACACGGCUGAAGCAGUCAAGCCCUCACCAGUUCGACCUAAUUCGACUCAUGACUCACACAGUCGGCAGUCACGCCCACACGACUGAGCCCGUCAAAACUCAGUUUUCUAUAUCUUUUUCCGGCAGAGCGGUGCACUAAGUGACACAAAAAUAUGGCUGAAAAUAUCAUGAUUGAUAAGGUGAUUGGUGAAAGUGGAGCUUCUAAUUCAAAUGCCACAUCACAAUCUCAAUCAGUUCAAUCGAAAGCAAAAAAACAAAGAAAAAAGAGGUGUAACCAUGCCUCGACUUUGUGGUCUCAAAGCUAUCUCACAUGUUUGGAGUCACUAUGAAAGGAUUGAAGAAGGUGAUGAUGGAUGGUGGAAAGUAAGAUGUAGUUAUUGUCAUCUUGUUUUAUGUAUUAUGUUUGGACUUUGGACAAUUGGACUUGUUAAUCCUAAGGUUGAUACUACUUUGCAUUGUUAUUAAUGUGUUUGAACUAUUACUUUGGAGUUUGGACAUUGUAUACAUCUGUUUUUGGGUUGUGAAA